rnacentral:rRNA from 1 species
CUCCGGUUGAUCCUGCCGGACCCGACUGCUAUCAGAGUGGGACUAAGCCAUGCGAGUCAACAUAGCAAUAUGUGGCAUACGGCUCAGUAACACGUAGUCAACAUGCCCAGGGGACGUGGAUAACCUCGGGAAACUGAGGAUAAACCGCGAUAGGUCAUCACUUCUGGAAUGGGUAAUGACUGAAAUCUAUAUGGCCCCUGGAUUGGACUGCGGCCGAUCAGGCUGUUGGUGAGGUAAUGGCCCACCAAACCUGUAACCGGUACGGGCUCUGAGAGGAGGAGCCCGGAGAUGGGCACUGAGACAAGGGCCCAGGCCCUAUGGGGCGCAGCAGGCGCGAAACCUCUGCAAUAGGCGAAAGCUUGACAGGGUUACUCUGAGUGAUGUCCGUUAAGGGCAUCUUUUGGCACUUCUAAAAAUAGUGUAGAAUAAGGGGUGGGCAAGUCUGGUGUCAGCCGCCGCGGUAAUACCAGCACCCCGAGUGGUCGGGACGAUUAUUGGGCCUAAAGCAUCCGUAGCCGGUUCUGCAAGUCUUCCGUUAAAUCCACCUGCUCAACAGAUGGGCUGCGGAGGAUACUACAGGGCUAGGAGGCGGGAGAGGCAAGCGGUACUCAGUGGGUAGGGGUAAAAUCCUCUGAUCCACUGAAGACCACCAGUGGCGAAGGCGGCUUGCCAGAACGCGCUCGACGGUGAGGGAUGAAAGCUGGGGGAGCAAACCGGAUUAGAUACCCGGGUAGUCCCAGCUGUAAACGAUGCAGACUCGGUGAUGGGUUGGCUUCGAGCCAACCCAGUGCCGCAGGGAAGCCGUUAAGUCUGCCGCCUGGGGAGUACGGUCGCAAGACUGAAACUUAAAGGAAAUUGGCGGGGGAGCA